CCGGAUUUAUUAAUAUUUAUUUGUGUCCUGGCAAUAUCACAAGAACCAUUACUGAUGAUUGGUGAAAGUGAAAAUCGUCAAUAUCAAAUUUGACCUCCAUUUUGUCAUCAGUAUCAACAUAUUAAAAUUUGAAAAGCUUAGAUUGAAUGGUUCGUGAGUAAAUGCAACAACGUGAAUGGAAACACCAUUUUACGAUCUUUGAAGAACCAUAACUCCUGAACGGUAAAAGUCAAAAUCGUCAUUAUUGAACUUGACCUCUAUUUUGUCAUCAGUAACAACAUAUUAAAUUU
rnacentral:lncRNA from 1 species